AUGCGGGCGCGGCGGCCGGAGGUGGCGGGUCGCGCGCGGGUGGGGCGUGGCGACUGCCGUAGCCGGCAGCGUCAGCGGCAGAGGACAAGAGCAGCACGACAGCGGGAGGGCUGCGCGGGCGCGGCUACGCGGGCAGAGGGGUGCGACGAGAUGCGCCCAGGGGCGGCUAGAGCCUGCGGGCGUGCGAACAAGCUGCGGGGGCCGGCGUGUGAGCAGAGACGGGCAAGCACGGCGGCGGGCGAAGCGACGCGGAGCAGGGCGCUGGCCGUGGUGGUGGAGCAGCAACAUCGGUGGCGGGCUUGA
rnacentral:rRNA from 1 species